GAUGAACGCUGGCGGCGUGCCUAAUACAUGCAAGUCGAGCGAACAGACGAGGAGCUUGCUCCUCUGACGUUAGCGGCGGACGGGAGAGUAACACGUGGAUAACCUACCUAUAAGACUGGGAUAACUUCGGGAAACCGGAGCUACUACCGGAUAAUAUAUUGAACCGCAUGGUUCAAUAGUGAAAGACGGUUUUGCUGUCACUAAUAGAUGGAUACGCGCUGCAUUAGCUGGUUGGUAAGGUAACGGGUUACCAAGGCAACGAGGCGUAGCCGACCGGAACGGGUGGUCGGCCACCCGGGAAGUGAGACAGGGUCCAGACUCCGACGGGAGGCAGCAGUAGGGAAUCGUACGCAAUGGGGGAGAGCCUGACAGAGGAACGUGGCGGGAGUGAUGAAGGAGUUCGGCUCGGAAAGCUCUGUUAUUAGUGGAGAACAAAUGUGUAAGUAACUAGGCAGGUCAUGACGGUACCGGAUCAGAAAGCCACGGCUAACUACGUG
rnacentral:rRNA from 1 species